rnacentral:misc_RNA from 1 species
GCAGGUGCUUUGAACGAAGCAGGAACGCCUUGGUCACUGUAAACUUUCUCAGAAAGUGCAGCUAGGCUAGCAAGUUGACCACAUGAGGCAGCUUUCGCACCAGAUAAAUCAGAAGUGGCUUUUGGAAGCUCUAACACAACAGGAAUGGUGCCUCCCGCUGAAAAAGGUGCACCAGGCUUGCUUGAGUAAGGCACAUUGUUCGAAGUCAUGGAAAAGGGAAAUAAUACAGGGAGUUCCUUUGGUGAUGAAGUUCUGCUAUCUGAUUGCUUUUGGGGCAAAACUUUUGUGCUAUCUUUCGAUGAAGAUGGAGAUAUAUCAACAUGAGUAGAUGAGGCUUCCAACCUCAUAUAUUUGCCUUCAAACAUCCGAAUGUCACUUAUUCUAUCAUCAUCUUCACAAGUUACAAAUGUCACCUUCUCUUGUCGGGCUCUAACGCCAAGAUGUGAUAAGUGAGGUAAUUCCUGUAGAAGAACUACUCCCACAAUGUUACUUCCAGCAGCUUUAACCUCUUCAUCACCAUCAGCUUUGUUAACCACCAGAAUAACUGGUCCUUUCACAGACGAAGGCAAAGAACCAGGACUUAUGCUUUCGACCUGUAGAAGGGUCCCAUG